rnacentral:rRNA from 1 species
GUAAGGAAUAUUGCGCAAUGGGCGAAAGCCUGACGCAGCAACGCCGCGUGGGCGAGGAAGGCCUUCGGGUUGUAAAGCCCUUUUCUGGGGGAUGAGAAUGGACAGUACCCCAGGAAUAAGUGUCGGCUAACUACGUGCCAGCAGCCGCGGUAAAACGUAGGACGCGAGCGUUAUCCGGAUUUACUGGGCGUAAAGCGCGUGCAGGCGGCCGGGUAAGUCGGACGUGAAAGCUCCUGGCUCAACUGGGAGAGGUCGUUCGAAACUACCUGGCUCGAGGACAGGCGAGGAGCGUGGAAUUCCGGGUGUAGUGGUGAAAUGCGUAGAGAUCCGGAGGAACACCAGUGGCGAAAGCGGCGCUCUGGACUGUACCUGACGCUCAGACGCGAAAGCCAGGGGAGCGAACGGGAUUAGAAACCCGGGUAGUCC